rnacentral:sRNA from 1 species
GAAUUCAGUGAAUCAUCGAAUCUUUGAACGCACCUUGCGCCCUUUGGUAUUCCGAAGGGCAUGCCUGUUUGAGUGUCAUUAAAUUAUCAACCUUGCUCGCUUUUACUAGCUUGAGUUAGGCUUGGAUGUGAGGGUUUUUGCAGGCUUUUGUGGUCUGCUCCCUUUAAAUGCAUUAGUGGGAUCUAUUGUGGACCGUCACUUGGUGUGAUAAUUAUCUAUGCCUUGAGACUUUGAAACAAACUUAUUAGAACCUGCUCAUAACCGUCCUUCAUGGGACAACUUUUGACAAUUUGACCUCAAAUCAGGUAGGACUACCCGCUGAACUUAAGCAUAUCAAUAAGCGGAGGAAAAGAAACUAACAAGGAUUCCCCUAGUAACUGCGAGUGAAGCGGGAAAAGCUCAAAUUUAAAAUCUGGCGGUCCCUGUGGUCGUCCGAGUUGUAAUUUAGAGAAGCGUUAUCCGCGCUGGACCGUACACAAGUCUCCUGGAAUGGAGCGUCAUAGAGGGUGAGAAUCCCGUCUUUGGUACGGACUGCCAGGGCAUUGUGAUGCGCUCUCAAAGAGUCGAGUUGUUUGGGAAUGCAGCUCAAAAUGGGUGGUAAAUUCCAUCUAAAGCUAAAUAUUGAGGAGAGACCGAUAGCGAACAAGUACCGUGAGGGAAAGAUGAAAAGAACUUUGGAAAGAGAGUUAAACAGUACGUGAAAUUGCUGAAAGGGAAACGCUUGAAGUCAGUCGCGUCGUCCAGGACUCAGCCUUGCUUUUGCUUGGUGUACUUCUUGUUCGACGGGUCAACAUCAAUUUUGGUCGGUGGAUAAAGGCUUAGAGAAUGUGGCACCUUCGGGUGUGUUAUAGCUCUGGGUCGCAUACAUCGGCUGGGAUUGAGGAACUCAGCACGCCGCAAGGCCGGGUACUUGUACCACGUACGUGCUUAGGA